AUCAAGCUGAUGAGUCCCAAGUAGGACGAAACGCGUGUCCUGGAU
rnacentral:hammerhead_ribozyme from 1 species